ACUUUAUCAUGAACAUUUUGUUUUUGAAUUGCAACAUGUGAUUAUUAUUCCUAUGAACAAAAUAAUUGGUCGCUGCUUGAGAAUUUUGGUGCCAUGAUCGUGUGAUUUGGUUCACUUCAUUUGAAUUUUGACAACCGUGUUGCAUCAAAUUUGUGACGAGUCAGUUGUUGAUUUGCUUGUUGAUCAGGUCAACCAUUCCAUUGAUACAUACUAUAUGGUUAAAUGAGAAAUUUAUUGACAUGUUUAUUUAUUUAUUGCAAGAAAACCAUGUCGGGUGCAUAGCAGCAUCACUUCUAAUGUUGUUUGUCUUAGUCGGUCAUAUGAUUUAACUACUCAUUUGUAUUAUUGUCAAGUGGUGUUGUAAUUGUAUCGAGUAAAAAAUAUUAACUGAAUAUACAAUAUUUAAUAUGAAUGAUUAUAAGUAAACUAGUUAAGAUAUUGUGCUCUUGCACAUGGGACAUUAAUGUAGAAUUGUGUAUCGUGUUAUUUGGGGAAAAUACCUUUCAUAGAUAUUGUUCUUGGUUGGCAUAUUACUGGACCUUACCAACGAUAUGUCGUGAUCAAGGGAAGUGGUAACUCUCUCUGGUGGUUUUCCGCGGUUGUCCUCGGCUACGUGGUUUAUCCCUUGCUCCGGAGGAGUUAUGGGUAGGUCAAUACUUCCGCUAAUCUUCUUGUGUUGCAAGGUUCGUGAAGAGCAAAAGGAAGAUGGCGGAUUGUGCUCACAUGGGACGAGUACUUAAUGUAUGAUUGUAUGAUUCAAAUUGGAAUAAAAUUAGGUGUAAGUAUUUUUAGCCCAAUCCAAGAUGUAGCAAACAAUUGUGAUGGUGCACAACCCCAAAUAUUCGUGAAAUAUCACGAAGCCGUGUUUAAAGUUAAAAAAAAAAAAAAAAUGUCAAUUUAGUUUUAAAUUUGGCGGUAAUCACCCAUACCAUGAUGCUAUAAGCGAUCAAUCAUACUUAAUUGGGAUGACUUCAUGAUAA